rnacentral:rRNA from 1 species
GGGUUGUGAGGUUAAGCGACUAAGCGUACACGGUGGAUGCCCUGGCAGUCAGAGGCGAUGAAGGACGUGCUAAUCUGCGAUAAGCGUCGGUAAGGUGAUAUGAACCGUUAUAACCGGCGAUUUCCGAAUGGGGAAACCCAGUGUGAUUCGUCACACUAUCAUUAACUGAAUCCAUAGGUUAAUGAGGCGAACCGGGGGAACUGAAACAUCUAAGUACCCCGAGGAAAAGAAAUCAACCGAGAUUCCCCCAGUAGCGGCGAGCGAACGGGGAGCAGCCCAGAGCCUGAAUCAGUGUGUGUGUUAGUGGAAGCGUCUGGAAAGGCGCGCGAUACAGGGUGACAGCCCCGUACACAAAAAUGCACAUGCUGUGAGCUCGAUGAGUAGGGCGGGACACGUGGUAUCCUGUCUGAAUAUGGGGGGACCAUCCUCCAAGGCUAAAUACUCCUGACUGACCGAUAGUGAACCAGUACCGUGAGGGAAAGGCGAAAAGAACCCCGGCGAGGGGAGUGAAAAAGAACCUGAAACCGUGUACGUACAAGCAGUGGGAGCACGCUUAGGCGUGUGACUGCGUACCUUUUGUAUAAUGGGUCAGCGACUUAUAUUCUGUAGCAAGGUUAACCGAAUAGGGGAGCCGAAGGGAAACCGAGUCUUAACUGGGCGUUAAGUUGCAGGGUAUAGACCCGAAACCCGGUGAUCUAGCCAUGGGCAGGUUGAAGGUUGGGUAACACUAACUGGAGGACCGAACCGACUAAUGUUGAAAAAUUAGCGGAUGACUUGUGGCUGGGGGUGAAAGGCCAAUCAAACCGGGAGAUAGCUGGUUCUCCCCGAAAGCUAUUUAGGUAGCGCCUCGUGAAUUCAUCUCCGGGGGUAGAGCACUGUUUCGGCAAGGGGGUCAUCCCGACUUACCAACCCGAUGCAAACUGCGAAUACCGGAGAAUGUUAUCACGGGAGACACACGGCGGGUGCUAACGUCCGUCGUGAAGAGGGAAACAACCCAGACCGCCAGCUAAGGUCCCAAAGUCAUGGUUAAGUGGGAAACGAUGUGGGAAGGCCCAGACAGCCAGGAUGUUGGCUUAGAAGCAGCCAUCAUUUAAAGAAAGCGUAAUAGCUCACUGGUCGAGUCGGCCUGCGCGGAAGAUGUAACGGGGCUAAACCAUGCACCGAAGCUGCGGCAGCGACGCUGAUGCGUUGUUGGGUAGGGGAGCGUUCUGUAAGCCUGUGAAGGUGUGCUGUGAGGCAUGCUGGAGGUAUCAGAAGUGCGAAUGCUGACAUAAGUAACGAUAAAGCGGGUGAAAAGCCCGCUCGCCGGAAGACCAAGGGUUCCUGUCCAACGUUAAUCGGGGCAGGGUGAGUCGACCCCUAAGGCGAGGCCGAAAGGCGUAGUCGAUGGGAAACAGGUUAAUAUUCCUGUACUUGGUGUUACUGCGAAGGGGGGACGGAGAAGGCUAUGUUGGCCGGGCGACGGUUGUCCCGGUUUAAGCGUGUAGGCUGGUUUUCCAGGCAAAUCCGGAAAAUCAAGGCUGAGGCGUGAUGACGAGGCACUACGGUGCUGAAGCAACAAAUGCCCUGCUUCCAGGAAAAGCCUCUAAGCAUCAGGUAACAUCAAAUCGUACCCCAAACCGACACAGGUGGUCAGGUAGAGAAUACCAAGGCGCUUGAGAGAACUCGGGUGAAGGAACUAGGCAAAAUGGUGCCGUAACUUCGGGAGAAGGCACGCUGAUAUGUAGGUGAAGCGACUUGCUCGUGGAGCUGAAAUCAGUCGAAGAUACCAGCUGGCUGCAACUGUUUAUUAAAAACACAGCACUGUGCAAACACGAAAGUGGACGUAUACGGUGUGACGCCUGCCCGGUGCCGGAAGGUUAAUUGAUGGGGUCAGCGCAAGCGAAGCUCUUGAUCGAAGCCCCGGUAAACGGCGGCCGUAACUAUAACGGUCCUAAGGUAGCGAAAUUCCUUGUCGGGUAAGUUCCGACCUGCACGAAUGGCGUAAUGAUGGCCAGGCUGUCUCCACCCGAGACUCAGUGAAAUUGAACUCGCUGUGAAGAUGCAGUGUACCCGCGGCAAGACGGAAAGACCCCGUGAACCUUUACUAUAGCUUGACACUGAACAUUGAGCCUUGAUGUGUAGGAUAGGUGGGAGGCUUUGAAGUGUGGACGCCAGUCUGCAUGGAGCCGACCUUGAAAUACCACCCUUUAAUGUUUGAUGUUCUAACGUUGACCCGU